AGCAGAGUGGCGCAGUGGGAGCGUGCUGGGCCCAUAACCCAGAGGCCGAUGGAUCGAAACCAUCCUCUGCUA